UGUGACCCACAUCUUGCUGCCAGGCUUUU
rnacentral:piRNA from 1 species